rnacentral:rRNA from 1 species
UACGAAGGGGGCAAGCGUUGUUCGGAAUUACUGGGCGUAAAGGGCGCGCAGGCGGCCGAUCAAGUCAGAUGUGAAAGCCCCGGGCUCAACCUGGGAAUAGCAUUUGGGACUGGUCGGCUAGAGUUCGGGAGAGGAGAGUGGAAUUCCCAGUGUAGAGGUGAAAUUCGUAGAUAUUGGGAAGAACACCGGUGGCGAAGGCGGCGCUCUGGACCGAGACUGACGCUGAGGCGCGAAAGCGUGGGGAGCAAACAGG